rnacentral:rRNA from 1 species
AGUGAACGCUGGCGGUAGGCCUAACACAUGCAAGUCGAACGGCAGCACAGUAAGAGCUUGCUCUUACGGGUGGCGAGAGGCGGACGGGUGAGGAAUACAUCGGAAUCUACUUUUUCGUGGGGGAUAACGUAGGGAAACUUACGCUAAUACCGCAUACGACCUACGGGUGAAAGCAGGGGAUCUUCGGACCUUGCGCGAUUGAAUGAGCCGAUGUCGGAUUAGCUAGUUGGCGGGGUAAAGGCCCACCAAGGCGACGAUCCGUAGCUGGUCUGAGAGGAUGAUCAGCCACACUGGAACUGAGACACGGUCCAGACUCCUACGGGAGGCAGCAGUGGGGAAUAUUGGACAAUGGGCGCAAGCCUGAUCCAGCCAUACCGCGUGGGUGAAGAAGGCCUUCGGGUUGUAAAGCCCUUUUGUUGGGAAAGAAAAGCAGCAGGUUAAGACCCCGCUGUUCUGACGGUACCCAAAGAAUAAGCACCGGCUAACUCCGUG